rnacentral:rRNA from 1 species
AGAAUCAACGCUGGCGGCGUGCCUAACACAUGCAAGUCGAACGGGAAAGUGGAGCAAUCCAUGAGUAUAGUGGCGACCGGGUGAGUAACACGUGACUAACCUACCCUUGAGUGGGGGAUAACCUCGGGAAACCGGGCUAAUACCGCAUAAAAUCUUCAGGAUGAGAAGCUGGAGAUCAAAGGAGCAAUUCGCUUUUGGAGGGGUCGCGGCUGAUUAGCUAGUUGGGGGACGUAGCCCACAAGGCUAUGAUCGGUA